UCUCCGGGCUUAACCCGGAGCGGUCAAGUGAUACUGUCGUGCUAGAGUGCGGAAGGGGCAACUGGAAUUCUCGGUGUAGCGGUGAAAUGCGUAGAUAUCGAGAGGAACACCUGCGGCGAAGGCGGGUUGCUGGGCCGACACUGACGCUGAGGCGCGAAAGCUAGGGGAGCGAACGGGAUUAGAUACCCCGGUAGUCCUAGCCUUAAACGAUGAAUGCUUGGUGUCCGGGGUUAGACAGUCCCCGGGUGCCGUCGCUAACGCUUUAAGCAUUCCGCCUGGGGAGUACGCACGCAAGUGUGAAACUCAAAGGAAUUGACGGGGACUCGCACAAGCGGUGGAGCAUGUGGUUUAAUUCGACGCAACGCGAAGAACCUUACCUGGGCUAGAAUGCCUCUGACAACCCUAGAGAUAGGGCCUUGUGGGUAAAACCAGACAGAGUGCAAGGUGCUGCAUGGCUGUUCGUCAGCUCGUGUCGUGAGAUGUUGGGUUAAGUCCCGCAACGAGCGCAACCCUUGUCAACUGUUUGC
rnacentral:rRNA from 1 species